rnacentral:tRNA from 1 species
GAUUAAUUAGUUUAUCAAAAAAUAUUAGUUUGUGGAACUAAAGAAAGAUUAGUCU